rnacentral:rRNA from 1 species
UGGGGAAUCUUGCGCAAUGGGCGAAAGCCUGACGCAGCGACGCCGCGUGCGGGAAGAAGGCCCUCGGGUUGUAAACCGCUUUCAGGAGGGACGAAGCCACUCGGGUUAAUAGCCCAGAGGGUGACGGUACCUCCAGAAGAAGCCCCGGCUAACUACGUGCCAGCAGCCGCGGUAAUACGUAGGGGGCGAGCGUUGUCCGGAUUUAUUGGGCGUAAAGAGCGCGUAGGCGGCCAGGUAGGUCCGACGUGAAAUCUCGAGGCUCAACCUCGAGCGGUCGUUGGAUACCGCCUGGCUAGAGUCCGGAAGAGGAGAGUGGAAUUCCUGGUGUAGCGGUGAAAUGCGCAGAUAUCAGGAAGAACACCUAUGGCGAAAGCAGCUCUCUGGGACGGUACUGACGCUGAGGCGCGAAAGCGUGGGGAGCGAACAGGAUUAGAUACCCUGGUAGUCCACGCCGUAAACGAUGGGUGCUAGGUGUGGGCGGCGUCGACUCCGUCCGUGCCG